rnacentral:rRNA from 1 species
AUUGAACGCUGGCGGAAUGCUUCACACAUGCAAGUCGAACGGCAGCACGGACUUCGGUCUGGUGGCGAGUGGCGAACGGGUGAGUAAUGUAUCGGAACGUGCCCAGCCGUGGGGGAUAACGUAGUGAAAAUUACGCUAAUACCGCAUACGAUCUAUGGAUGAAAGCGGGGGAUCGCAAGACCUCGCGCGAUUUGAGCGGCCGAUAUCAGAUUAGGUAGUUGGUGGGGUAAAGGCCCACCAAGCCAACGAUCUGUAGCUGGUCUGAGAGGACGACCAGCCACACUGGAACUGAGACACGGUCCAGACUCCUACGGGAGGCAGCAGUGGGGAAUUUUGGACAAUGAGCGAAAGCCUGAUCCAGCCAUUCCGCGUGCAGGAUGAAGGCCCUCGGGUUGUAAACUGCCUUUGUACAGAACGAAAAGGUUUCUACUAAUACUAGGAGCUCAUGACGGUACUGUAAGAAUAAGCACCGGCUAACUACGUGCCAGCCGCCGCUGUAA